rnacentral:lncRNA from 1 species
GUUGCUAGGAGGCAGCAAGUAUCAGAUUGCCUUUCUUGGCAGGAAGAGGGGUAUAUUGGGAAGAAGACUGUCCUUUAGUGGGAGAAGCCAUAUUUUAGCAGGGCAUUAUGGGAAGGAAGCGGCGGCUAUUCUAUGUAGCAGCCAUCUUAAGUAGCCAAUUUCACUUGCCUCAUGAACGUGCCAGAAAGGCAGCAGACAUUGGUUUGCAUACCAUUGUGUGUCCUGCAGCUCACCGUGUGCCUGUCAUACCCAAAUGACAUCUCAUCUCAGCAGCAAUGCAAACUGAAGAAUGAGUCUCCAGCCCA